CUCUUCAGGGCAGGGUGCGAUUCCCUACCGGCGGUAAAGCCCGCGAGCCUUUUGGCAUGAUCCGGUGAGAUUCCGGGGCCGACAGUAUAGUCUGGAUGGAAGAAUG
rnacentral:ncRNA from 1 species